CUUAACGACCAUUUGUUUUUACGGUUUUUGGGGUAUCAUGCUUCUAAGAAUCAUGAUGUGAUAAGAGCUCCGCUCUACUCUUUUCAUUCAGCCGUCUUCCUUCAAAGAUUGGUGAUCCAAGUGACAAGCAACUCGUUAAACAGCUGCUCUGAAGAUUUUGAAUGAGCCAUCUGUGUAGAUCCUCGAGCAAUGAGUUGUGUAUUCUCACUAUUCACCUUUUCUCUAAAUUCUUCCCUUGAAAACCAACCGAUGUAUUUCAUUAUAAUCUCCUCUUAUUCUAGGUCCAAUACACCAUAAUUUGCACUAUUUUAUUGUUAUCAUUAGCUUUAUCAUUAGUUUUCCUGCAUUCUAUUGAGAGCUUUGGUGUUUCUUAUUUUUUCGAUUCAGGAUAUGUGUAGUGUUCUCUUAUACAUUUCGAAAGCUUUAAUGCAUUUUUCAAGCAAAAAAUUGAGAGUCAAAUGCAGUCAUACAGGAGGAUGAAGGUUGGUGAAGACUUCUAAGUCUAGGUCACACCUGAUAAAGAUGUUUUUUAUGGCGAUGAGAGUAAGUACGCUGAAAUAAAUAAUAAGACUCUAGCACACACCUAUGCAUAAUAUAUCAACCCUUUGUAAAAAUUCAAUAAUUUUACCUAAAUAAAACAUAAAUUUUUGGCAAAUCAUGUUUCAUAAAAUCCUGCAUUGAAAUAUUUCAAACUAGUUUUGCCAUAUAUCUUUUCUAAUAUCCUUUAUUUUAUAUUGGCCUUUGUAUUAAGGUUAAUACAAUGAAAUAUGCAAAUGAUAAUCAGAAACGGAAUAAGGAAUACAAUAAACCAUUAACGGAUUGAAUCGGAGCUACAGAAGCCGAGAUAUUAAUGAAACAUUGGAAAAAACAAAAGAAAACUUGUUUUUUCCCACUAUAUCACUUUCUUUUUCUUAAAAUGGCUAUUGACUAAUUUUAAUGUAAGCCCUAAACAGAUAAUUUCUAGUAAAAAAAACCAAAGAAACACAUUUUGUUCGAAAAUCGACAGGGAAGGAUUAAAAAAGGUUAUAACCGAUUUGACUCUAAAAUGAACAGAAAACCUAUUUAUUUGCAUUUUUCAAUUCUCGAAGAAAUCCGUGUUCAAGAUGAACAUUUUUUCAAAAUAUGCUCCCAAUUCAAUUUUUUUAUUGGUUCAGGAUCAUUCAAAAAAUAGUAAAAAAGCUUAUUGACAAAUUUUUUUACAAUUUAUGGGAGUGCCACAAUAGAAAAGGAACAGAUUAGACCGUAUAAUAAUCUGUGUAUUAGGAUUGGAUAAAAGAAUUCUUACGUCGACUGUUCUAUUUUCCAUUUUCAUUUUGAAAGUCAAUUAGGUAAAUGGAAAGAUCAAUAGAAGCUAAAAUUAAGCUAGUAAAAUAAACCAUUGAAAUAAAAUAACCGUCACUUGCUUUAACAACCCCUGCAAUGAAAUUUAUCUACUAAACUUACCCUAUGUCGCCCAAAGCCUAAAUUGAAAAAAACAAUUAGAACUAGGUAUAUGAAUUUUGCUGCCAAAAUAUUAAAUUAUAUAAUUUAUCAAACCGACCGUGAAAAAAUAAAUUUUAGUGCGCCCAUGACAUGCCAAGCUCAAACAGCAAUGCUCAAUGACAUCUGAAUUUGACAAGUCAGUUAAAUUCAGAUGUCAAUGUCAACCCAAUAAAACAAUAAUAUAAUUCACCUUGAGAAAUUAUUAUUAUUUUUUAACUAAUAUUUAUUGGAAAACUUCAACACAAAUUAUUUGCUAAAUAAAACUGAUGAAAAUCUCAUAACUUCAUUCAAGUUCGCAUAUAUUUUGCCUGUGUGGCCUUUGUUUUGUGUACCUAGAAUUAUUACAAGGUAUGAUUUGUUUUCAUCCUGGUCAACAAUUUAACAGCUGUGGGACCCAUUUGUUGUAGGAGAAGAAUUGCAUGUUUUAACUGCUAAUUAGACUACACAACCAGAAAUAAAUAAGCUAAAUGAAGUAUGUUAGGAUACCCAGAGAUCAUGAAAUGUGUUUGAUAGGGCUCAGACCAUGCACUUAAGGACAUCCGUCAAGAAAUCAUUGAGAUUCUACCAUAUUGAUGAAAUUGGGAAACCAGGAAGAACUGCCUGUCUUUACUGUUGGUUAGAGUACACAGCCAGAAAUAAAUAAGCUACAGGAAGUAUGUUAGGAUUCCCCAGAGAUCAUGAAAUGUGUUUGAAGGGAUAUGAAUCAGCUUUUUUGUUAUCUUGAAUAGGCAAAAUGGCACGAGAAUCUUCCAACUGGACCCAAAGUCUCUAUUUUUGGUUAGAAAAUAAAACUUAUUUAAUGUUUAUGUUCCAUGACCUGUUUAUUGUUUUAUUAAAUUUUGUCAUACAGUUAUUUAGUUUUAAUAAUUAAAGAGAAAAUUGAUCUAUAGUA